AUGAUAUAUUUAAGAUGCUACUUUAAGUAUUAUUAUGUAUUAUUAUUAAGUAUUUUUCUAGUUUUAUGUUUGAAUAUUUAUUUAGUAUUCUUUUUUUUAAAAGAAGAAACAAGUAUAGGAAAAUCAACUCUAUUAAAUUAUAAUGCAUCAUAUUUUGCAACUCAGAAUAUUUUAAAUUCAUUAAGCAAACUCGACAAAGAUUAUGAUUUGCCAAUACCAACUGAAGAAUCUAGUAUUUUAAAAGAACUUGAAGUACUCUUAAGUAAUUUAAAAUUAAAAUUUAAUGGUGAUAUUGAUUUGUUUAAUGCUACUAUAAAUAUAAUGAAUAAAGAUGGACUUAUGCCUCUUUAUGGUACACCAUAUCUUGGAUCAACUAUAAAUUUAUUAAAAACAUCAGAAAUAAUCAAGACUUAUAAUGCUCUUAAAGGAACUCAAUUAAAAUUACUACUUAUGUUUAAAAAUAACCAGGAAGUGUUAUUUAAACCUAAAUGGUAUUCAGAGUCAAAAAUAAUAUAUGGAGAUGUAUACGCUGGCAAAGAUCGCUAUAAUGGUGAAAUAAUGGCAUUUUACAUUUCACUUAUUCUUGGAUUUCCACGUGUACCCAUUGUUGUGAAACGAAUUUUAGAUUCUACAGAAAUACACAAAACAGCAAAUAUUGGAUUAAAGAAAACAAUGUAUAUUAAUUCAACAACCAAAGAAAUGUGUCUAUAUGGAAAAUGUUUUUAUUGUAAACGUGAAGAUCCAGUAUGCACAAAAAGUGAACGACUUGAAGGUGCAGCUAUUUUUCAUCUUCCUCCAUAUAUGAAGCUUAAACAACGUUUACAUCCUUGGAGAAGAACUUACAAUGAAAAUAAGACAGCAAGAUGGGAAACUGAUAAUAAUUUUUGUACUUAUGUUAAAGCUACAUUUGAUUCUGAAAGAAUUUUGGACUUUAUCGAUAUCUGUAUAUUUGAUUUUAUUAUUGGAAAUGGGGAUCGACAUCGAUAUGAAGUUAUAGAACAAUUUAAUAAUACCAUUAUCUUAAUUGAUAAUGGAAAAAGUUUUGGGAACCCUUACAAAGACCAUACUGAUAUAUUGGCUCCGCUUUAUCAGUGUUGCAUAAUUCGCCAGAAGACGUGGGAAAGACUCAAGUCUAUAAAAGGAGGAACAUUCACAAACGUAUUGCAAAAUAUGUUGGUUAUACACGAAACAAUAUCUCUAAUUACUCUACCACAUUACAAUGCACUUGAGCGACGACUAAAAUUAGUAUACGCUACCGUUACUAUGUGUCAAAACCAAUCAAAUGAAUCGAUAUUCAAAUGACCAUUGACAAGUAUUCAUUUUAAUGUUAAAUUUAAUAUUUUGUCGAAGUGUAUUGUUUAAAUUCUAAGUUUGUUACUAUUGUUUUUUGAGGACAAUCGCAGUCAUCGCGAAAAUGAAACCUAAAAUGUUAGCUCAUUGUCCAAUGCGGAUCCUUACUAAGUCGAUGCUACUACGAAUACUAUGAUCGCGAUUAGUGGCAAAGUUUCCUAUGAGACAAAGAAACAUUGUCUACACAGUUUUUAAUUGUAAGUAUAUAUCGCACAUCCAGAAGAAGAACGACACAACUCAAAUAUAACAAUUAUACAGCACUGGUAAAAAUCAUAAUGACUAAAAAUUAAAAUUAAAGUUUUCAUUCUACACACUUGGUAUUUACACCAAUAUAUUCAGAUUCAUAUACUUUAUCAAAAAUAUAUCCUAAACAUUUAAAAAAGUUUUGGGGUCUAAUAUUAAAAUUAGUUAUGUCUAUUUUACUUUUUAUUUUUUUUAUCAUAACCUUUGACUUGGGUCUAUUUGUAAUAACUAAGGGGACAUGUACUAUUAAUUUAUAUAAUUGUUGCGUUCAAUUUUAUUUAACAUUUCGUAAGCUUAAAAAUAUAUCAAUUUAAGUCAUAAAUCAUAAGUAGAAAUUAAUUAGUUACAGUACUCUUAAAAUAAAACUAUAAUAUCUAAAUAGAGAAAAAAUGUGUCUAUUGCGGCACGCACGGCAGGUACUUUUUUACAAUACAAAAAUCAUAAAAUGUCUUGUUUAAAUACUUUUAAAAUAAUUACGAUAUAGUUAGGGUAUUAAGUUUUGCUUAUACAAUUCUAGCAAAUCAGAUUUUUUCGCUGCAAUUAUUUCAGGUGGAAAGUCGUAAGCUUUUUUAAGUUCCAUACUGUUGAAAUUGCUAUUGCGUGUUUCCCUCCUCACCUAAUAAACAAUAAAAUUAAAAAAAAUAAGUUCUUCGGAUUAUAUUAUAUUAAUAAAUUUAUUUUAAAUUUAAAUUAUAAUCACCUUUACUAUUUAGUAAUCCGUAUUGUUAAAUGAUGUUCUUAGUUUCAAUGUGCAUGGAUUUGAUUUGUCGAUAUGAAUUUCUUUAAUGUCAUUCCACAGAUUUUUUUGCCAUUUACAUCCAUGUUAAAAUUUGUACCAAUAUCUUUGCUUAAAUUUUUGAAAUUUAAAAAGUCUUCAGUAGACAUUUCUUUUACGUUGUAGGUUUUUUUUUUUUUGGUUUGCCAACUUAAUAACUGAUACCCAUUGAGAUGGUACACAUAUUAGCUUUCUGAUUGGUCGUUUGGUUUUGCCACUCUUUUUAAAAACUGUUAUCUAGUAUUAUGUGUUAUUUAAUAUUAUCAAAUU
rnacentral:misc_RNA from 1 species